rnacentral:lncRNA from 1 species
GUUUCCAUGAGGGGGCUGCGGGAGGAGCCAGGCAGCAUGGUGACUGUGUUGGCGCAGAGUGUGCAGGUGGACCGAGGAGCCAGCACCUGUCUGAGGACGUGAGGGCCCGGGCCAGCCCCCCAACAGGGACGCUCCACGUGAAGUCCAGUCACAGCCUAAACUGCACCGCAAAUGCAUCUGGAUGAAAGAGACCGACAGAGGAGGAGGGGCAAAUUACUCCUAAAUCUUAGCGGGGCGAACUGGAAUUUAUGGAGAGCCCCCAUCUUUGAAAAGGUGGCUGCCAUUUCCAUCCAGCCUAGAAAAUGACACUUAUGAGCAAUGUCUUAAAACCAAGUCUCGAGUAGACAGAUGGUGGUAUGGAAUACAGUGGAAUCCUACAGUCUCCUGAGAACGAAUGCUCUACAACUGCUCGCACCGAUAUGAACGGGCGUUCGUAAACAUAGUGCUGAGUGAAAGAAGCUGGGCACAAGAGAACGCGCUCGCAUGGUGACAUCUACAUAAAGUGCAGACACAGGCAAAACAGGCCCAUGGUGUCAGAGCAAAAGCCACACUCCUUGGCCCAGCAUUUAAGGCCCUCCACACUACUGCCUCAACCUACCUCUCCAAAAUUGUCUCCCUCAUCACAUCCCAAACAGCCCUGAACUUCUGCUAAACCAGCAGUCCCUUCGUCCUGAGUCUCUGCUUCCUUUGUCCAAGUUUGAAUUUCAAUUCACACACCAGGGACUGUGUGAAACCACUGUGUUAAACUGAGUGGGCAAAGAAAAUGCAGUCCCCAGGAGGGAAGCGCAUACACACGCACACGUGGGUGCACCCACACAUGCCCACAUGCACACACAUAGGUGCGCACACAUGCAUGAGCACAC